rnacentral:rRNA from 1 species
UUUAUGGAGAGUUUGAUCCUGGCUCAGGAUGAACGCUGGCGGCGUGCCUAAUACAUGCAAGUCGAGCGAACGGACGAGAAGCUUGCUUCUCUGAUGUUAGCGGCGGACGGGUGAGUAACACGUGGAUAACCUACCUAUAAGACUGGGAUAACUUCGGGAAACCGGAGCUAAUACCGGAUAAUAUUUUGAACCGCAUGGUUCAAAAGUGAAAGACGGUCUUGCUGUCACUUAUAGAUGGAUCCGCGCUGCAUUAGCUAGUUGGUAAGGUAACGGCUUACCAAGGCAACGAUGCAUAGCCGACCUGAGAGGGUGAUCGGCCACACUGGAACUGAGACACGGUCCAGACUCCUACGGGAGGCAGCAGUAGGGAAUCUUCCGCAAUGGGCGAAAGCCUGACGGAGCAACGCCGCGUGAGUGAUGAAGGUCUUCGGAUCGUAAAACUCUGUUAUUAGGGAAGAACAUAUGUGUAAGUAACUGUGCACAUCUUGACGGUACCUAAUCAGAAAGCCACGGCUAACUACGUGCCAGCAGCCGCGGUAAUACGUAGGUGGCAAGCGUUAUCCGGAAUUAUUGGGCGUAAAGCGCGCGUAGGCGGUUUUUUAAGUCUGAUGUGAAAGCCCACGGCUCAACCGUGGAGGGUCAUUGGAAACUGGAAAACUUGAGUGCAGAAGAGGAAAGUGGAAUUCCAUGUGUAGCGGUGAAAUGCGCAGAGAUAUGGAGGAACACCAGUGGCGAAGGCGACUUUCUGGUCUGUAACUGACGCUGAUGUGCGAAAGCGUGGGGAUCAAACAGGAUUAGAUACCCUGGUA